GACGAACGCUGGCGGCGUGCUUAACACAUGCAAGUCGAACGGAAAGGCCCUGCUUUUGUGGGGUGCUCGAGUGGCGAACGGGUGAGUAACACGUGAGUAACCUGCCCUUGACUUUGGGAUAACUUCAGGAAACUGGGGCUAAUACCGGAUAGGAGCUCCUGCUGCAUGGUGGGGGUUGGAAAGUUUCGGCGGUUGGGGAUGGACUCGCGGCUUAUCAGCUUGUUGGUGGGGUAGUGGCUUACCAAGGCUUUGACGGGUAGCCGGCCUGAGAGGGUGACCGGCCACAUUGGGACUGAGAUACGGCCCAGACUCCUACGGGAGGCAGCAGUGGGGAAUCUUGCACAAUGGGCGGAAGCCUGAUGCAGCAACGCCGCGUGCGGGAUGACGGCCUUCGGGUUGUAAAACGCUUUCGCCUGUGACGAAGCGUGAGUGACGGUAAUGGGUAAAGAAGCACCGGCUAACUACGUG
rnacentral:rRNA from 1 species